rnacentral:RNase_P_RNA from 1 species
UCUAUCAGCCGGGUUAUCGCUCUCCCGCCCUUGGCGGGAGGGAGGAAAGUCCGGACAGCACAGAGCAACACACCGGUUAACGGCCGGUCCCGACCCCUGGUUGGGAAGACAGUGCCACAGAAAAUUACCGUCCCGUCUCGCCCCAGGCGAGACGGGGUAAGGGUGAAAACGUGAGGUAAGAGCUCACGGGUUUUUGCAGCAAUGCAAUGACCGGGUAAACCUUGUGUGCUGUAAUGCCACGUAAAUCAGCGUUUGAGGGCGGCUCGCCCGAUGCUGAAGGGUAGGCAGCAAGAUCCAUGCAGUAAUGCAUGGGCCAGAUAAAUGAUGACCAUCCGCCAACCGGCGGAGACAGAAUCCGGCUUACAGGCUGAUAGAUUUU